GCAGGCAGCAUAGACAGCCCAUAUCAGAUUUUGCCUGGAAGAUUUUCACCCUGAACCAGGCAGAACAACUGAAAAAUCGUAGACAAUGAUAAUUGGCAGAGAUUUGCUGUUUCCUUGCAGUGGUUGCAGGAAGUUUCAUUCUCUUCUGAAAUCUAUGGAAUGCAACUUCCCAGCACUGAAUGUCCCCUUCACAAAAAGAAAGGGGGAUCAAGGCACCAUGAUGAGACAGACAUCUCUGCAGAGAGAUGGCCUCAGCAUCUUGGCUGUUUACAUUAAUUUGAUGGAUUCUGCUUAAGAAACUGUUCAUUAUGGCCUGGGCCAUAGAAACAAAACAGGGCUUGAAACACACCAUGGAAGACCAUGCUUCUACCAAUUGCUCUCUGUUAAAUAGUGUUGCCAGUUUUCUCCUGACAAUAGUAAACACAUUUGACAAAGAAGUAACAGGACAGAUCAUGCAGCAUCUGUAUAUUGGUGACAGUGCAUUGAUGAUGGUAUUUUCAUCUUUG